rnacentral:lncRNA from 1 species
GCGUCAGGCAUUCAGGCAGCGAGAGCAGAGCAGCGUAGAGCAGCACAGCUGAGCUCGUGAGGCAGGAGACUCAGCCCGAGGAAAUCGCAGAUAAGUUUUUAAUUAAAAAGAUUGAGCAGUAAAAAGAAUUAGAACUCUAAACUUAAGCUAAUAGAGUAGCUUAUCGAAAUAUUACUUAGUCUUAAUAAUCUAAGAAGAUCUUAAGAGAUAACAUGAAGGCUUAUUUAAACAGUUUGAAAAAGGAAAUGAGGAGAAAAGUAUUUGUACUGUAUAAUGGAGGCUGACCAGAGCAGUUUAGGAGAUUGUAAAGGGAGGUUUUGUGAAGUUCUAAAAGGUUCUAGUUUGAAGGUCGGCCUUGUAGAUUAAAACGAAGGUUACCUAAAUAGAAUCUAAGUGGCAUUUAAAACAGUAAAGUUGUAGAGAAUAGUUUGAAAAUGAGGUGUAGUUUUAAAAGAUUGAGAAAAGUAGGUUAAGUUGACGGCCGUUAUAAAAAUCCUUCGACUGGCGCAUGUACGUUUGAAGGCAUGAGUUGGAAACAGGGAAGAUGGAAGUGUUAGGCUAGCCGGGCGAUGGUGGCGCACGCCUUUAAUCCUAGCACUUGGGAGGCAGAGGCAGGCGGAUUUCUGAGUUCGAGGCCAGCCUGGUCUACAGAGUGAGUUCCAGGACAGCCAGGGCUACACAGAGAAACCCUGUCUUGAAAAAACAAAAAGGUUAGGCUAGUAUUUGGAGAAAGAAGAUUAGAAAAUGGAAGUGAAAGACGAAGAAGACAUACAGGAAGGUGAAGAAAAAGCUGUUAGAGAAGAUAGGAAAAUAGAAGACAAAGCAUCUUUAGAAGACAGAAAAGGUACUUAAAGGCACAGGUAGUAGGAAGCCGAAGAAUAGAAGAUAGAAAGAAGCAAGAUAGAAAAACAAAAUGGAAGUUAAGACAACUUUGGAUGCCAGCAUUCAAGAUAGGCAAAGAAGAUAAGAUUGAGGCCAAAAGGUUGGAUAAGAUAUAAAGUCAGAAGGAAAUUAUCUUUAAAGCCAUAAGUUCAAAUUUCUGAUGGAGCGAGCAGUUUAGAAGAGUCUUUAGACAGCCACAUACAAGAUUGAAGCUAGCAAUCAAAGCUACUAGGACUGAAGUAAAAAGUUAAGGCAGAAUGCCUUUGAAGAGUUAGAAGAAUAUUAAAAGCCUUAACUUGUAGCUUAAUUUUGCUUGAUGACAAAAGGACUUUUGAUAACAGUUUCAAGAUUGUCAGCAUUUUGCAUUGGACUUGAGCUGAGGUGCUUUUAAAAUCCUAACGACUAGCAUUGGCAGCUGACCCAGGUCUACACAGAAGUGCAUUCAGUGAACUAGGAAGACAGGAGCGGCAGACAGGAGUCCCGAAGCCAGUUUGGUGAAGCUAGGAAGGACUGAGGAGCCAGCAGCAGCAGUGCAUGGUGAAGAUAGCCCAGGAAAGAGUGCGGUUCGGUGGAGGAAGCUAGGAAGAAGGAGCCAUACGGAUGUGGUGGUGAAGCUGGGAAAGGGUUCCAGGAUGGUGGAGCGAGAGCGAGUUGGUGAUGAAGCUAGCUGGCGGCUUGGCUUGUCAACUGCGCGGAGGAGGCGAGCAGGCAUUGUGGAGAGGAUAGAUAGCGGCUCCUAGACCAGCAUGCCAGUGUGCAAGAAAGGCUGCAGGGAGAGCAUGCGGUGCGGUAACAUUCCUUGAGGUCGGCAACAUGGUGGUGGUUUUCUGUAACUUGGAUGGUAACUUGUUUACUUUGUCUUAAUAGUUAUGGGGGAGUUGUAGGCUUCUGUGUAAAGAGAUAUAUCUGGGGCUGUAUGUAGGCCUUUGCGGGUGUUGUAGGUUUUUCUUUUUCAGGGUUAUGUCCUCUUGCAUCUUGUCAGAAGCUUUUGAGGGCUGACUGCCAAGGCCCAGAAAGAAGAAUGGUAGAUGGCAAGUUGUCUUUAACCGCUCAGAGGGGAAUGAAUGGUAGAGCCAGCACAACCUCCCAGUUUUGUAAGACGUUGUAGUUUGAACAGAUGACCUACCACAAGCCUCACUCCUGUGUAGGGGAGGUAAUUGGGCAAAGUGCUUUUGGGGGAAUGGGGGCAAAAUAUAUUUUGAGUUCUUUUCCCCUUAGGUCUGUCUAGAAUCCUAAAGGCAGAUGACUCAAGGGAACCAGAAAAAAGGAAAUCCACUCUCAGGAUAAGCAGAGCUCGCCAGGUUUACAGUUUGUAGGAAGUAGAGGAUGGAUGCUAGCUUUCACACUGAGUGUGGAGGAGCUGGCCAUGGCGGAAUUGCUGGUAGUUUACUCUUUCCCCCUCCCUUAAUGAGAUUUGUAAAAUCCUAAACACUUUUACUUGAAAUAUUUGGGAGUGGUCUUAACAGGGAGGAGUGGGUGGGGGAAACGUUUUUUUUCUAAGAUUUUCCACAGAUGCUAUAGUUGUGUUGACACACUGGGUUAGAGAAGGCGUGUACUGCUAUGCUGUUGGCACGACACCUUCAGGGACUGGAGCUGCCUUUUGUCCUUGGAAGAGUUUUCCCAGUUGCCGCUGAAGUCAGCACAGUGCGGCUUUGGUUCACAGUCACCUCAGGAGAACCUCAGGAGCUUGGCUAGGCCAGAGGUUGAAGUUAAGUUUUACAGCACCGUGAUUUAAAAUAUUUCAUUAAAGGGGAGGGGUAAAACUUAGUUGGCUGUGGCCUUGUGUUUGGGUGGGUGGGGGUGUUAGGUAAUUGUUUAGUUUAUGAUUUCAGAUAAUCAUACCAGAGAACUUAAAUAUUUGGAAAAACAGGAAAUCUCAGCUUUCAAGUUGGCAAGUAACUCCCAAUCCAGUUUUUGCUUCUUUUUUCCUUUUUCUUUUUUUGAGGCGGGCAGCUAAGGAAGGUUGGUUCCUCUGCCGGUCCCUCGAAAGCGUAGGGCUUGGGGGUUGGUCUGGUCCACUGGGAUGAUGUGAUGCUACAGUGGGGACUCUUCUGAAGCUGUUGGAUGAAUAUAGAUUGUAGUGUGUGGUUCUCUUUUGAAAUUUUUUUCAGGUGACUUAAUGUAUCUUAAUAACUACUAUAGGAACAAAGGAAGUGGCUUUAAUGACCCUGAAGGAAUUUCUUCUGGUGAUAGCUUUUAUAUUAUCAAGUAAGAGAUACUAUCUCAGUUUUGUAUAAGCAAGUCUUUUUCCUAGUGUAGGAGAAAUGAUUUUCCUUGUGACUAAACAAGAUGUAAAGGUAUGCUUUUUUUCUUCUUGUGCAUUGUAUACUUGUGUUUAUUUGUAACUUAUAAUUUAAGAAUUAUGAUAAUUCAGCCUGAAUGUCUUUUAGAGGGUGGGCUUUUGUUGAUGAGGGAGGGGAAACCUUUUUUUUUCUGUAGACCUUUUUCAGAUAACACCAUCUGAGUCAUAACCAGCCUGGCAGUGUGAUGACGUAGAUGCAGAGGGAGCAGCUCCUUGGUGAAUGAGUGAUAAGUAAAGGCAGAAAAAAUAAUGUCAUGUCUCCAUGGGGAAUGAGCAUGAGCCAGAGAUUGUUCCUACUGAUGAAAAGCUGCAUAUGCAAAAAUUUAAGCAAAUGAAAGCAACCAGUAUAAAGUUAUGGCAAUACCUUUAAAAGUUAUGGCUUAUCUACCAAGCUUUAUCCACAAAAGUAAAGAAUUGAUGAAAAACAGUGAAGAUCAAAUGUUCAUCUCAAAACUGCUUUUACAAAAGCAGAAUAGAAAUGAAGUGAAAAUGCUGCAUUAAGCCUGGAGUAAAAAGAAGCUGAGCUUGUUGAGAUGAGUGGGAUCGAGCGGCUGCGAGGCGGUGCAGUGUGCCAAUGUUUCGUUUGCCUCAGACAGGUUUCUCUUCAUAAGCAGAAGAGUUGCUUCAUUCCAUCUCGGAGCAGGAAACAGCAGACUGCUGUUGACAGAUAAGUGUAACUUGGAUCUGCAGUAUUGCAUGUUAGGGAUAGAUAAGUGCCUUUUUUCUCUUUUUCCAAAAAGACCUGUAGAGCUGUUGAAUGUUUGCAGCUGGCCCCUCUUAGGCAGUUCAGAAUUUUGAGUAGUUUUCCCAUCCAGCCUCUUAAAAAUUCCUAAGCCUUGCACCGAUGGGCUUUCAUGAUGGGAUAGCUAAUAGGCUUUUGCAUCGUAAACUUCAACACAAAAGCCUACAUGAUUAAUGCCUACUUUAAUUACAUUGCUUACAAGAUUAAGGAAUCUUUAUCUUGAAGACCCCAUGAAAGGGAUCAUUAUGUGCUGAAAAUUAGAUGUUCAUAUUGCUAAAAUUUAAAUGUGCUCCAAUGUACUUGUGCUUAAAAUCAUUAAAUUAUACAAAUUAAUAAAAUACUUCACUAGAGAAUGUAUGUAUUUAGAAGGCUGUCUCCUUAUUUAAAUAAAGUCUUGUUUGUUGUCUGUAGUUAGUGUGGGCAAUUUUGGGGGGAUGUUCUUCUCUAAUCUUUUCAGAAACUUGACUUCGAACACUUAAGUGGACCAGAUCAGGAUUUGAGCCAGAAGACCGAAAUUAACUUUAAGGCAGGAAAGACAAAUUUUAUUCUCCAUGCAGUGAUGAGCAUUUAAUAAUUGCAGGCCUGGCAUAGAGGCCGUCUAACUAAGGACUAAGUACCUUAGGCAGGUGGGAGAUGAUGGUCAGAGUAAAAGGUAACUACAUAUUUUGUUUCCAGAAAGUCAGGGGUCUAAUUUGACCAUGGCUAAACAUCUAGGGUAAGACACUUUUCCCCCACAUUUCCAAAUAUGCAUGUUGAGUUUAAAUGCUUACGAUCAUCUCAUCCACUUUAGCCUUUUGUCACCUCACUUGAGCCACGAGUGGGGUCAGGCAUGUGGGUUUAAAGAGUUUUCCUUUGCAGAGCCUCAUUUCAUCCUUCAUGGAGCUGCUCAGGACUUUGCAUAUAAGCGCUUGCCUCUGUCUUCUGUUCUGCUAGUGAGUGUGUGAUGUGAGACCUUGCAGUGAGUUUGUUUUUCCUGGAAUGUGGAGGGAGGGGGGGAUGGGGCUUACUUGUUCUAGCUUUUUUUUUACAGACCACACAGAAUGCAGGUGUCUUGACUUCAGGUCAUGUCUGUUCUUUGGCAAGUAAUAUGUGCAGUACUGUUCCAAUCUGCUGCUAUUAGAAUGCAUUGUGACGCGACUGGAGUAUGAUUAAAGAAAGUUGUGUUUCCCCAAGUGUUUGGAGUAGUGGUUGUUGGAGGAAAAGCCAUGAGUAACAGGCUGAGUGUUGAGGAAAUGGCUCUCUGCAGCUUUAAGUAACCCGUGUUUGUGAUUGGAGCCGAGUCCCUUUGCUGUGCUGCCUUAGGUAAAUGUUUUUGUUCAUUUCUGGUGAGGGGGGUUGGGAGCACUGAAGCCUUUAGUCUCUUCCAGAUUCAACUUAAAAUCUGACAAGAAAUAAAUCAGACAAGCAACAUUCUUGAAGAAAUUUUAACUGGCAAGUGGAAAUGUUUUGAACAGUUCCGUGGUCUUUAGUGCAUUAUCUUUGUGUAGGUGUUCUCUCUCCCCUCCCUUGGUCUUAAUUCUUACAUGCAGGAACAUUGACAACAGCAGACAUCUAUCUAUUCAAGGGGCCAGAGAAUCCAGACCCAGUAAGGAAAAAUAGCCCAUUUACUUUAAAUCGAUAAGUGAAGCAGACAUGCCAUUUUCAGUGUGGGGAUUGGGAAGCCCUAGUUCUUUCAGAUGUACUUCAGACUGUAGAAGGAGCUUCCAGUUGAAUUGAAAUUCACCAGUGGACAAAAUGAGGACAACAGGUGAACGAGCCUUUUCUUGUUUAAGAUUAGCUACUGGUAAUCUAGUGUUGAAUCCUCUCCAGCUUCAUGCUGGAGCAGCUAGCAUGUGAUGUAAUGUUGGCCUUGGGGUGGAGGGGUGAGGUGGGCGCUAAGCCUUUUUUUAAGAUUUUUCAGGUACCCCUCACUAAAGGCACUGAAGGCUUAAUGUAGGACAGCGGAGCCUUCCUGUGUGGCAAGAAUCAAGCAAGCAGUAUUGUAUCGAGACCAAAGUGGUAUCAUGGUCGGUUUUGAUUAGCAGUGGGGACUACCCUACCGUAACACCUUGUUGGAAUUGAAGCAUCCAAAGAAAAUACUUGAGAGGCCCUGGGCUUGUUUUAACAUCUGGAAAAAAGGCUGUUUUUAUAGCAGCGGUUACCAGCCCAAACCUCAAGUUGUGCUUGCAGGGGAGGGAAAAGGGGGAAAGCGGGCAACCAGUUUCCCCAGCUUUUCCAGAAUCCUGUUACAAGGUCUCCCCACAAGUGAUUUCUCUGCCACAUCGCCACCAUGGGCCUUUGGCCUAAUCACAGACCCUUCACCCCUCACCUUGAUGCAGCCAGUAGCUGGAUCCUUGAGGUCACGUUGCAUAUCGGUUUCAAGGUAACCAUGGUGCCAAGGUCCUGUGGGUUGCACCAGAAAAGGCCAUCAAUUUUCCCCUUGCCUGUAAUUUAACAUUAAAACCAUAGCUAAGAUGUUUUAUACAUAGCACCUAUGCAGAGUAAACAAACCAGUAUGGGUAUAGUAUGUUUGAUACCAGUGCUGGGUGGGAAUGUAGGAAGUCGGAUGAAAAGCAAGCCUUUGUAGGAAGUUGUUGGGGUGGGAUUGCAAAAAUUCUCUGCUAAGACUUUUUCAGGUGGACAUAACAGACUUGGCCAAGCUAGCAUCUUAGUGGAAGCAGAUUCGUCAGUAGGGUUGUAAAGGUUUUUCUUUUCCUGAGAAAACAACCUUUUGUUUUCUCAGGUUUUGCUUUUUGGCCUUUCCCUAGCUUUAAAAAAAAAAAAGCAAAAGACGCUGGUGGCUGGCACUCCUGGUUUCCAGGACGGGGUUCAAGUCCCUGCGGUGUCUUUGCUUGACUCUUAUAUCAUGAGGCCAUUACAUUUUUCUUGGAGGGUUCUAAAGGCUCUGGGUAUGGUAGCUGAUAUCACUGGAACACUCCCCAGCCUCAGUGUUGAACUCUUGAUAAUUAACUGCAUUGUCUUUCAGGUUAUGCCCAAUUCGUCUUAUUACCUCUGAGUCGACACACCUCCUACUAUUUAUUGAAUACUUUGAUUUUAUGAAAUAAAAACUAAAUAUCUCUCAU